UUCAGAAAAUUUUUGUGACCACGCGCAAUGUGGUCGAUAGAGUCAGUGUUUGUUGCGCAAUAUGUUAAUGUUUUUCUGAGCAAAAUGGCUCUCAUUAAAUUAGAUUAUUAAUUUAUUUAAAUUAUAAUUCCAGAAGUUAGAGUCAGUGAGUUCGCCGAUUGCAUCUUAAACGCGUGCAUUGAUAGUCUUUUAUUUUUUCUUUUUUUAUAUUUUCUUUGUUCAACAUUCUUUUUCGGUAUAUUAGUGUCAGUGCUCAAGAGGAUAAGGCCUCUACAGGAGGUCAUAAUCACGCUUAACAGCAUCAACUUUCUGGGAUAUUUUGAGGAAAAUUCAACGCUAGCUCCAAAGCCAAGAAUAUUCUCUACAGUUUUCAAUUCCCCUAGUCCCCUGAGAAUUUUACGAUGCUUCAGAAACAAAAAAUAAAUUUUUUAUUGGCGUUCAUUUCCACCAUGGGAUUCUCAGUGGUAUCUGCUCGAUGAGGAUCUUCACAACGACUUUCCUUGGUCCAGUGCAGCAUCGAUGACAACGUUCUUCGCAUCUAUCGCGUGAGUCGCAUGCAUUUAUGUCCCUCCGGUCAUUCAAUCAUGUCGUAGGAC